rnacentral:rRNA from 1 species
GGUUGCGGCCAUAUCUACCAGAAAGCACCGUUUCCCGUCCGAUCAACUGUAGUUAAGCUGGUAAGAGCCUGACCGAGUAGUGUAGUGGGUACUGAACAUGUCUGGACCCUGCCCUCA